rnacentral:rRNA from 1 species
ACUCCUACGGGAGGCAGCAGUGGGGAAUAUUGCACAAUGGGCGCAAGCCUGAUGCAGCCAUGCCGCGUGUGUGAAGAAGGCCUUCGGGUUGUAAAGCACUUUCAGUUGUGAGGAAGGUGGUGUCGUUAAUAGCGGCAUCAUUUGACGUUAGCAACAGAAGAAGCACCGGCUAACUCCGUGCCAGCAGCCGCGGUAAUACGGAGGGUGCGAGCGUUAAUCGGAAUUACUGGGCGUAAAGCGCAUGCAGGUGGUUUGUUAAGUCAGAUGUGAAAGCCCGGGGCUCAACCUCGGAACUGCAUUUGAAACUGGCAGACUAGAGUACUGGUAGAGGGGGUUAGAAUUUCAGGUGUAGCGGUGAAAUGCGUAGAGAUCUGAAGGAAUACCGGUGGCGAAGGCGGCCCCUGGACAGAUACUGACACUCAGAUGCGAAAGCGUGGGAGC